CCAUAUCAUAUUGAAUCAUUGAUUCUCAUAAGAUCACUGAAGUUAAGCAAUAUUGAGCCUGGUUAGUACCUUGAUGGGUAACCGCUUGGGAAUACCAUGUGCUGUAAG